AUGGCAGGGCGAAACAAACACAUAUAGACUAUGGAAGAGGAUGUAAAGUUAAUUGAGACAUUGUUGGAGUUGCAUGUAUCCGGAAAGUAUGGUGGUGCCGACAACGGAUUCAAACCCGAUUAUUUAAAGGCAGUGCAACAAUUACUAGAUGUAAGUCUUCCUAACUCGGGUUUGAAAGCAGAGCCUCAUAUUAAGUUGAGGAUGAAGACAUGGAAAAACCAUUUCAACAUCGUGCACGACAUGGUAUAUGGAACAAACACGAGCGAAUUCGGCUGGGAUACGGAUAAAUGUUGUGUUACUGUCGAUGUUGAAGUUUGGGAUGAGUACAUAAAGAGUCAUAAAGGUGUUGCAUGUUUUCACGAUAAACCAUUUCCCCAAUUUGAUAACCUAUGUAAAAUCUUUGCGAAGGAUAGAGCUACUAAUCUUAGUGAAGAUGUGACUGAAGAGACACAAAGAAACCCACCUAUUGAUGUGGAAGGGUUGGAAGAGAUUGUUGAAGAGACGUAA